rnacentral:rRNA from 1 species
GACGAACGCUGGCGGCGUGCCUAAUACAUGCAAGUAGAACGCUGAGGACUGGUGCUUGCACCGGUCCAAGGAGUUGCGAACGGGUGAGUAACGCGUAGGUAACCUACCUCAUAGCGGGGGAUAACUAUUGGAAACGAUAGCUAAUACCGCAUAAAAGUGUUUAACCCAUGUUAAACAUUUAAAAGGUGCAACUGCAUCACUAUGAGAUGGACCUGCGUUGUAUUAGCUAGUUGGUGAGGUAACGGCUCACCAAGGCGACGAUACAUAGCCGACCUGAGAGGGUGAUCGGCCACACUGGGACUGAGACACGGCCCAGACUCCUACGGGAGGCAGCAGUAGGGAAUCUUCGGCAAUGGACGGAAGUCUGACCGAGCAACGCCGCGUGAGUGAAGAAGGUUUUCGGAUCGUAAAACUCUGUUGUUAGAGAAGAAUGAUGGUGGGAGUGGAAAAUCCACCAUGUGACGGUAACUAACCAGAAAGGGACGGCUAACUACGUGCCAGCAGCCGCGGUAAUACGUAGGUCCCGAGCGUUGUCCGGAUUUAUUGGGCGUAAAGCGAGCGCAGGCGGUUCUUUAAGUCUGAAGUUAAAGGCAGUGGCUCAACCAUUGUACGCCUUGGAAACUGGAGAACUUGAGUGCAGAAGGGGAGAGUGGAAUUCCAUGUGUAGCGGUGAAAUGCGUAGAUAUAUGGAGGAACACCGGUGGCGAAAGCGGCUCUCUGGUCUGUAACUGACGCUGAGGCUCGAAAGCGUGGGGAGCAAACAGG